rnacentral:tRNA from 1 species
GCGCCCGUAGCUCAGAUGGAUAGAGCAUCGGUUUUCUAAACCGGCGGUCGGGUGUUCGAUCCACCCCGGGCGCGCCA